rnacentral:rRNA from 1 species
UACGAAGGGGGCUAGCGUUGCUCGGAAUCACUGGGCGUAAAGGGUGCGUAGGCGGGUCUUUAAGUCAGAGGUGAAAUCCUGGAGCUCAACUCCAGAACUGCCUUUGAUACUGAGGAUCUUGAGUUCGGGAGAGGUGAGUGGAACUGCGAGUGUAGAGGUGAAAUUCGUAGAUAUUCGCAAGAACACCAGUGGCGAAGGCGGCUCACUGGCCCGAUACUGACGCUGAG